UGCCCAGCAACUCCUAUCCCUACCUCCACGCGGUACCGGCCGGAAACUAUGAGCAAGAAGAUCGGGUAACCAACCCCGGUGGGAACUUUGGUCGUAGGCUGACAGGGAAGG
rnacentral:ribozyme from 1 species